CGCCAAGAGUUGGUGCCCCUUGGGGGUUCUUCAUGUCUCUUCCUAACCUAUUUAUACGAGGCAUCCCAUAUGGGUUGGGUACUAGAUUUUGGUUGAAAAUCAGAGGCUUUUGGUGUGUGAUAAGAGCAAAAAAAUUUAAAAAAAAAUUUAAAAAAAAUAAGAAAAAAUUUGAGAGGAAAAAUAGUAAGAAGGGUGGUGAGAAAAAUAGCAAGUG
rnacentral:lncRNA from 1 species